UACGUAGGGCGCGAGCGUUAUCCGGAUUUAUUGGGCGUAAAGAGCUCGUAGGCGGCUUGUCGCGUCGAAUGUGAAAUCUCAGGGCUCAACUCUGACAUUGCAUUCGAUACGGGCAGGCUAGAGUUCGGUAGGGGAGACUGGAAUUCCUGGUGUAGCGGUGAAAUGCGCAGAUAUCAGGAGGAACACCGGUGGCGAAGGCGGGUCUCUGGGCCGAUACUGACGCUGAGGAGCGAAAGCGUGGGGAGCGAACAGG
rnacentral:rRNA from 1 species